GAUGAACGCUAGCUACAGGCUUAACACAUGCAAGUCGAGGGGAAACGAUAUUGGAAGCUUGCUUCCGAUAGGCGUCGACCGGCGCACGGGUGAGUAACGCGUAUCCAACCUGCCCACCACUUGGGGAUAACCUUGCGAAAGUAAGACUAAUACCCAAUGAUAUCUCUAGAAGACAUCUGAAGGAGAUUAAAGAUUUAUAGGUGAUGGAUGGGGAUGCGUCUGCUUAGCUUGUUGGCGGGGUAACGGCACACCAAGGCGACGAUCAGUAGGGGUUCUGAGAGGAAGGGCCCCCACAUUGGAACUGAAACACGGUCCAAACUCCUACGGGAGGCAGCAGUGAGGAAUAUUGGUCAAUUGGCGAGAGCCUGAACCAGCCAAGUAGCGUGCAGGAUGACGGCCCUAUGUGUUGUAAACUGCUUUUAUAAGUGAAUAAAGUGAGUCUCGUGAGACUUUUUGCAUGUACCUUAUGAAUAAGGACCGGCUAAUUCCGAGCCAGCCGCCGCGGUAA
rnacentral:rRNA from 1 species